GUGAGGAAUAUUGCGCAAUGGAGGCAACUCUGACGCAGCCAUGCCGCGUGCAGGAAGAAGGCGCUACGCGUUGUAAACUGCUUUUAACCGGGAAGAAACCCCAGGACGUGUCCUGGGUUGACGGUACCGGAGGAAUAAGCACCGGCUACUUCGUGCCAGCAGCCGCGGUAAUACGAAGGGUGCAAGCGUUAUCCGGAUUCAUUGGGUUUAAAGGGUGCGUAGGCGGAGCGUUAAGUCAGUGGUGAAAUCCUGCAGCUUAACUGUAGACUUGCCAUUGAUACUGGCGCUCUUGAGUGCGCUUGAAGUGGGCGGAAUGUGCCGUGUAGCGGUGAAAUGCUUAGAUAUGGCACAGAACACCAAUUGCGAAGGCAGCUCACUAAGGCGAUACUGACGCUGAGGCACGAAAGCGUGGGGAUCGAACAGGAUUAGAUACCCUAGUAGUCC
rnacentral:rRNA from 1 species